UUGCUUUGGCAGCACAUAUACUAAAACUGGUAUGAUACACAGAAGAUAAACAUGGCCCCUGCUCAAGGAUUACAUGCACAAAUAUUUAGCUGCAGUUUGUGUAG